AGAGUUUGAUCAUGGCUCAGAUUGAACGCUGGCGGAAUGCUUUACACAUGCAAGUCGAACGGCAGCACGGGAGCUUGCUCCUGGUGGCGAGUGGCGAACGGGUGAGUAAUAUAUCGGAACGUACCCAGUAAUGGGGGAUAACUAGUCGAAAGAUUAGCUAAUACCGCAUACGCCCUGAGGGGAAAAGCGGGGGACCGUAAGGCCUCGCGUUAUUGGAGCGGCCGAUAUCUGAUUAGCUAGUUGGUGGGGUAAAGGCCUACCAAGGCGACGAUCAGUAGCUGGUCUGAGAGGAUGAUCAGCCACACUGGAACUGAGACACGGUCCAGACUCCUACGGGAGGCAGCAGUGGGGAAUUUUGGACAAUGGGCGCAAGCCUGAUCCAGCCAUUCCGCGUGAGUGAAGAAGGCCUUCGGGUUGUAAAGCUCUUUCGCAAGGGAAGAAAACUU
rnacentral:rRNA from 1 species